rnacentral:lncRNA from 1 species
UGAGCUGAGCCUACAGCCGCAUCCUUAGCCACCUCGGGCUCUGUGUGUCUCCUCUGUGCUUAACAACGCCCAAGAACCCAUAGCUUCCCAUCUGCUGAUUGCUUCUCUGGAAUUUAAUUAUUUCUCAAUAAAUUCUGUAUUUUAUAUUGUACGUGAGACAUUUUAAAGAUAUGUUUGAGACCAAGGAUAGUUAAAAUGACUGUAAAGGUAGUGUGUCUGCCAUGGAGACGGAGUGCUGUCCACUGGCAGGGAAAAUGAUCACCUCAAACUAAUUUGCAGUUAUUAUUUGACUCAUUAUUUUCUUGUCUGUCUUUCUUUGAUAAACAACCACAGACAGUUUAAAUGUCAUACAUGGCCUCAGAAUUUGCCUUGGCUGCUGGUUCCAUAGCAGAAGCACUGAGGUGAAGGGAAGAACAUAUCUGCCUUUUGUGCUGUAAAUAAAGGGAAAUGACUAACGGAGUCAGGCUGAGUGUUCUGCCGACAAGAAACGGAAUCACAUCACACUCUGCAGCCUUCUAAAGAAACCUGUAUCCAUGCACACAGCUAUCACUGCAGAGCUGUGCCAGCACCUAUGGACCACAGUUACCUUUAGCUUUUCCGUUUUGUUUUGUUUUUCUUUUUCUUUUUAAUAAUUGUAGUCAAUAAAGUUAUUGUCUGUUC